rnacentral:rRNA from 1 species
UACGAAGGGGGCUAGCGUUGUUCGGAAUUACUGGGCGUAAAGGGCGCGUAGGCGGUUUGUCAAGUCAGGCGUGAAAGCCCCGGGCUCAACCUGGGAACCGCGCUUGAGACUGGCAGGCUCGAGUUCGGGAGAGGAUGGUGGAAUUCCCAGUGUAGAGGUGAAAUUCGUAGAUAUUGGGAAGAACACCGAUGGCGAAGGCAGCCAUCUGGACCGACACUGACGCUGAGGCGCGAAAGCGUGGGAGCAACAGG